rnacentral:rRNA from 1 species
UGUAAGCGUAUACCAAAGUUGUUGCAGUUAAAACGCUCGUAGUCGGAAUUUGGCAGUUCCGGAUGUGUGCACGUCGUGUGCGCACUUCGCGGGGAUUGCUUUUGUGGUCUUGCGUAGGAUGAGGCACUUUUAUUAGUGAACGUCCUCACGCAACCACUUUUUACUGUGAGAAAAUCAGAGUGCUCAAAGCAGGCAUUUGCCGUGAAUGUAUUAGCAUGGAAUAAUAGAAUAGGACUUGGUUCUAUUUUGUUGGUUUGUUGGGACUGAGUAAUGAUUAAGAGGGACAGUUGGGGGCAUUUGUAUUUCGGUGCUAGAGGUGAAAUUCUUAGAUUACCGAAAGACAAACUGCUGCGAAAGCGUCUGCCAAGGAUGUUUGCAUUGA